rnacentral:rRNA from 1 species
AUUGAACGCUGGCGGCAGGCCUAACACAUGCAAGUCGAACGAGUGGCGGACGGGUGAGUAAUGUCUGGGAAACUGCCUGAUGGAGGGGGAUAACUACUGGAAACGGUAGCUAAUACCGCAUACCAUCAGAUGUGCCCAGAUGGGCUUAGCUAGGUGGUGGGGUAACGGCUCACCAAGGCGACGAUCCCUAGCUGGGCUGAGCGGAUGACCGGCCACACUGGAAUGGAGACACGGUCCAUACUCCUAAGGGAGGCAGCAGUGGGGAAUAUUGCACAAUGGGCGCAAGUCUGAUGCAGCCAUGCCGAGUGUAUGAAGAAGGCCUUCGGGUUGUAAAGUACUGUCAGCGGGGAGGCGUUACCCGCAGAAGAAGCACCGGCUAACUCCGUGCCAGCAGCCGCGGUAAUAC